AACCAGGCACCCCUGCAGGUAUGAUCUUUCAAGGAAAGGAUUAAAUUAUACUCUGAGAAUGUUCUGUAAGGGACAGUGGCUCUGAAUAGUUAUUUCUCUAUUCUCCAUUCUCCAUGUGCUAAUGGAAGAAACUUUGCGUGAUUUAAAGAAUAAAGAGGGCAGUAAUCAAGUGCUGCAAAUACAAUUAACAAGCAACAGCUACUGUAACUGCGAACACAUCCACCACUGCUCUUAAUCGAUUUCCACCAUUACCACUGCCACCACCAAGAGUGAUGUGUAAAAGAAGUCAAGGGU